rnacentral:rRNA from 1 species
AGCGAACGCUGGCGGCAGGCCUAACACAUGCAAGUCGAACGAACUCUUCGGAGUUAGUGGCGGACGGGUGAGUAACACGUGGGAACGUGCCUUUAGGUUCGGAAUAACUCAGGGAAACUUGUGCUAAUACCGAAUGUGCCCUUCGGGGGAAAGAUUUAUCGCCUUUAGAGCGGCCCGCGUCAGAUUAGCUAGUUGGUGAGGUAAAGGCUCACCAAGGCGACGAUCAGUAGCUGGUCUGAGAGGAUGAUCAGCCACAUUGGGACUGAGACACGGCCCAAACUCCUACGGGAGGCAGCAGUGGGGAAUCUUGCGCAAUGGGCGAAAGCCUGACGCAGCCAUGCCGCGUGAAUGAUGAAGGUCUUAGGAUUGUAAAAUUCUUUCACCGGGGACGAUAAUGACGGUACCCGGAGAAGAAGCCCCGGCUAACUUCGUG